rnacentral:rRNA from 1 species
AUCUUUGGCUCAGAGCGAACGCUGGCGGCGUGCUUAACACAUGCAAGUCGAGUGCGCGUACCGUAGCAAUACGGUAUGGCGCACGGCGCACGGGUGCGUAACACGUGGGUAAUCUGCCCUUCGAUGGGGAAUAACUCCGGGAAACCGAAGCUAAUUCCGCAUAACAUUCCUUGAACUUCGGUUUGGGGACUCAAAGCCGUAAGGCGUCGGAGGAGGAACCCGCGCACGAUUAGCUAGUUGGUAGGGUAACGGCCUACCAAGGCUUUGAUCGUUAGCUGGUCUGAGAGGAUGGCCAGCCACACUGGAACUGAGACACGGUCCAGACUCCUACGGGAGGCAGCAGUGGGGAAUCUUGCACAAUGGGCGAAAGCCUGAUGCAGCGACGCCGCGUGGGGGAUGAAGCUUUUCGGAGUGUAAACCCCUUUCGACCCGGACGAAUACCUCGCAAGAGGGGUGACGGUACGGGUAUAAGAAGCCCCGGCUAACUACGUG